rnacentral:lncRNA from 1 species
AAAUUCUAAGUUUGGGGUAAACCCGGUAAGUUUCAAAAAUCAAGGUGAGUGCGGAAAAAAAGGAUCAUCGAAAAAAAAGAGAAAACAAAAUAUACUCGAUGGUUCGAAAGAAGUACUGGCUGAAGAAAGAGCGCUCGGUUAAAAAAAGGGAAUAGCAAGGAAAAACCCGAGCGAUUGAAAAAAAAAGAGGAAAAGAAGGAAAAUGAACAAAUAUGGUAAAAAUAGUAUUGACAUUGACUCUGAACCCAAAACCACU